rnacentral:rRNA from 1 species
UUGAACUGAAGAGUUUGAUCCUGGCUCAGAUUGAACGCUGGCGGCAUGCCUUACACAUGCAAGUCGAACGGCAGCACGGGCUUCGGCCUGGUGGCGAGUGGCGAACGGGUGAGUAAUACAUCGGAACAUGUCCUGUAGUGGGGGAUAGCCCGGCGAAAGCCGGAUUAAUACCGCAUACGAUCCACGGAUGAAAGCGGGGGACCUUCGGGCCUCGCGCUAUAGGGUUGGCCGAUGGCUGAUUAGCUA